UGAGGAAUCUUGCGCAAUGGGGGAAACCCUGACGCAGCAACGCCGCGUGAGUGAGGAAGGUCUUCGGAUCGUAAAGCUCUGUCAGUUGGAAAGAAAUGUCUGAGAGUCAAUACCUUUCAGGCUUGACGGUACCAACAGAGGAAGCACCGGCUAACUCCGUGCCAGCAGCCGCGGUAAUACGGGGGGUGCAAGCGUUGUUCGGAAUUAUUGGGCGUAAAGAGCGUGUAGGCGGGCGGAUAUGUCAGAUGUGAAAGCCCCGGGCUUAACCCGGGAAGUGCAUUUGAAACUGGCCGGCUCGAGUAGGGGAGAGGGAAGUGGAAUUCCUGGUGUAGAGAUGAAAUUCGUAGAUAUCAGGAGGAACACCGGUGGCGAAGGCGACUUCCUGGCCCUAUACUGACGCUGAGACGCGAGAGCGUGGUUAGCAAACAG
rnacentral:rRNA from 1 species